rnacentral:lncRNA from 1 species
AUGUCCUUGAGACAUCGUUCAGUGACAUGCUUAAAAGCAAUGCUAAGAAACCGACUACUCAAGAAAGUAAUGCACCAGCAGCAGCUGGAGCUUCAGAGUCAUCAGAAGUAAUGGGGGCAAAAAACAGCAAGAAGAAGGGGAAGAAAGGUCGACAAAUUGAUCCUGCUCUUCUAGGAUUCAAAGUCACAAGCAACAGGAUCCUGAUGGGUGAGAUACAGCGGAUAGAAGAUUAAUCUCUCCUGUCACCGUAAUUUGUUGUAGAGGUUUGAGUUUGUAUAGUUUUUUUUAGCAAAGUUAAUUCUUUUGUUAUAGUUUUCCUAUCGCCCAGUUGUAUUUCAUUGGUGAGGAUGUAAAGGCGGUUCUCGGCUUGUUUAGUUUUUAGAGGUAAAUUUGACUUAGGAUUGCUCAAAUAUUUGUACAGAUAUUUUUUACGCACAUCAAAUCAACAAAGAAUAAUGGUACUAUGCCAAAUCAGUAAAUUUUGCUUAAUAUGUUACGUAAGAACAAGUCUAAUGGCCAAGUUCAAGAGGAAUGGCAGACGAUGGCAACAUGCAAUGACAAGCUCAAAAGCAACUCAAAAGCAAGAUAGAUGAUCUAUGUACUACUACUGCAGUCAAGAAAGAUAAAAAGAGGAUAAUCCCUCUCUUGAUAUCGAAAUGAUUUAGUGAGAAGGGGAUCAUCCUACAUUAGCAUAGUGAUUCAACACCUCAGGUUCUAGUUUUGGUUAGAUGAAGUUGCAAUAACUUUCGAAACUUCAUAGCUGGACUCGGUUUGAGUCUAUUGCUUUCGAUCAUUAGAUAUUUUGCCCACUUACAUCUUGAGCUUUUCUUGAUUUGUUUGGAUGUAACUUCAUAUCAAAUGAUAUCUUAAUUCUUCUCUUGGAUUUUGCUGCUUCUUAAGUGAAAUCUCUAAGGCCCCGUUUGAUUGCACGAAAUUUUCCAUGGAACUUGGAAUUCGAAUUCCAACUUCCACUUUUGGCCUGUUUGAUUGACAAAAUUUUCCAGGGAAUUGAUUUUCCAUGAAUUUCUAGGUACAACACCUUAAAGCGUGAUUUUCCACCUUUUUUU